GAUGAAGAACGUAGUGAAAUGCGAUAAGUAAUGUGAAUUGCAGAAUUCAGUGAAUCAUCGAGUCUUUGAACGCACAUUGCGCCCCCUGGUAUUCCGGGGGGCAUGCCUGUCCGAGCGUCAUUGCUGCCCUCAAGCACGGCUUGUGUGUUGGGCCCCGUCCUCCGAUCCCGGGGGACGGGCCCGAAAGGCAGCGGCGGCACCGCGUCCGGUCCUCGAGCGUAUGGGGCUUUGUCACCCGCUCUGUAGGCCCGGCCGGCGCUUGCCGAUCAACCCAAAUUUUUAUCCAGGUUGACCUCGGAUCAGGUAGGGAUACCCGCUGAACUUAAGCAUAUCAAUAAGCGGAGGA
rnacentral:misc_RNA from 1 species